rnacentral:rRNA from 1 species
AUUGAACGCUGGCGGCAUGCUUUACACAUGCAAGUCGAACGGUAACAGGGUGCUUGCACCGCUGACGAGUGGCGAACGGGUAAGUAAUGCGUCGGAACGCACCGAGUAAUGGGGGAUAACGCAGCGAAAGUUGUGCUAAUACCGCAUACGCUCUGAGGAGGAAAGCGGGGGACCUUCGGGCCUCGCGUUAUUCGAGCGGCCGACGUCUGAUUAGCUAGUAGGUGAGGUAAGAGCUCGCCUAGGCGACGAUCAGUAGCGGGUCUGAGAGGAUGAUCCGCCACACUGGGACUGAGACACGGCCCAGACUCCUGCGGGAGGCAGCAGUGGGGAAUUUUGGACAAUGGGCGCAAGCCUGAUCAGCCAUGCCGCGUGUCUGAAGAAGGCCUUCGGGUUGUAAAGGACUUUUGUCAGGGAGGAAAUCCCUAAGGUUAAUACCCUUGGGGGAUGACAGUACCUGAAGAAUAAGCACCGGCUAACUACGUGCCAGCCGCCGCAGUAA